AAUAAAGUAAGCUAAUGAUAAGCUUUUAGGCUCAUGUCCUAAGAAUAGAAGGAUAAAAACCUCUCUUUAUUU
rnacentral:tRNA from 1 species